rnacentral:rRNA from 1 species
AAUGAACGCUGGCGGCGCGCCUAAUACAUGCAAGUCGAACGGAUCCUUCGGGAUUAGUGGCGGACGGGUGAGUAACACGUGGGAACGUGCCCUUUGGUUCGGAACAACUCAGGGAAACUUGAGCUAAUACCGGAUAAGCCCUUCGGGGAAGGAUUUAUCGCCAUUGGAGCGGCCCGCGUCUGAUUAGCUAGUUGGUGGGGUAAAGGCCUACCAAGGCGACGAUCAGUAGCUGGUCUGAGAGGANGAUCAGCCACACUGGACUGAGACACGGCCCAGACUCCUACGGGAGGCAGCAGUAGGGAAUCUUGCGCAAUGGGCGGAAAGCCUGACGCAGCCAUGCCGCGUGAAUGAUGAAGGUCUUAGGAUUGUAAAAUU